GCAGCCUGAUCAGCCAUACCGCGUGGGUGAAGAAGGCCUUCGGGUUGUAAAGCCCUUUUGUUGGGAAAGAAAAGCAGUCGAUUAAUACUCGGUUGUUCUGACGGUACCCAAAGAAUAAGCACCGGCUAACUUCGUGCCAGCAGCCGCGGUAAUACGAAGGGUGCAAGCGUUACUCGGAAUUACUGGGCGUAAAGCGUGCGUAGGUGGUUGUUUAAGUCUGUUGUGAAAGCCCUGGGCUCAACCUGGGAAUUGCAGUGGAUACUGGGCGACUAGAGUGUGGUAGAGGGUAGUGGAAUUCCCGGUGUAGCAGUGAAAUGCGUAGAGAUCGGGAGGAACAUCCAUGGCGAAGGCAGCUACCUGGACCAACACUGACACUGAGGCACGAAAGCGUGGGGAGCAAACAGGAUUAGAUACCCUGGUAGUCCACGCCCUAAACGAUGCGAACUGGAUGUUGGGUGCAAUUUGGCACGCAGUAUCGAAGCUAACGCGUUAAGUUCGCCGCCUGGGGAGUACGGUCGCAAGACUGAAACUCAAAGGAAUUGACGGGGGCCCGCACAAGCGGUGGAGUAUGUGGUUUAAUUCGAUGCAACGCGAAGAACCUUACCUGGUCUUGACAUGUCGAGAACUUUCCAGAGAU
rnacentral:rRNA from 1 species